CGCGUAGGUGGUAGUGUAAGUCUGAGGUGGAAUCCUAUGGCUUAACCAUAGAACUGCCUUGGAUACUGUAUUACUUGAGUCAGUGAGGGGAGGGUAGAAUUCCUGGUGUAGCGGUGAAAUGCGUAGAUAUCAGGAGGAAGGCCUGUGGCGAAGGCGGCCCUCUGGUGCUGGACUGACACUGAGGCGCGAAAGCGUGGGGAGCAAACAGGAUUAGAUACCCUGGUAGUCCACGCCCUAAACGGUGGGCACUAGGUGUAGGGCUCGCAAGGGUUCUGUGCCGAAGGGAAACCAUUAAGUGCCCCGCCUGGGGAGUACGGCCGCAAGGUUGAA
rnacentral:rRNA from 1 species